CCCUUAGAUGUUCUGGGCCGCACGCGCGCUACACUGUUCGACGCAGCGAGUCUUAACCUUGACCGAAAGGUUUGGGUAAUCUUCAGCAAAGUCGAACGUGAUGGGGAUCGAUCAUUGCAAUUAUUGAUCGUGAACGAGGAAUUCCUAGUAAGUGCAAGUCAUCAGCUUGCGCUGAUUACGUCCCUGCCCUUUGUACACACCGCCCGUCGCUACUACCGAUUGAAUGGUUUAGUGAGGUCUCUGGAUUGACGCUGGCUAGGGGGCGACCCUUGGCCAGGCUGUCGAGAAACUGCUCAAACUUGAUCAUUUAGAGGAAGUAAAAGUCGUAACA
rnacentral:rRNA from 1 species